UCAUUAGCUCAGCUGGUAGAGCACCCGACUCUUAAUCGGUAGGUCACAGGUUCGAACCCUGUAUGGUC
rnacentral:tRNA from 1 species